CCUACGGGAGGCAGCAGUAGGGAAUCUUUCACAAUGGGCGAAAGCCUGAUGGAGCAACGCCGCGUGCAGGAUGAAGGCCUUCGGGUUGUAAACUGCUUUUAUAAGCGAGAAAUAUAAUGGUAACUUAUGAAUAAGGAUCGGCUAACUACGUGCCAGCAGCCGCGGUCAUACGUAGGAUCCGAGCAUUAUCCGGAGUGACUGGGUGUAAAGAGUUGCGUAGGUGGCAUAAUAAGUAGCGAGUGAAAUCUGGUGGCUCAACCAUUCAGACUAUUAGCUAAACUGUUAAGCUCGAGACCGUUAGGGGUAACUGGAAUUUCUAGUGUAGGAGUGAAAUCCGUAGAUAUUAGAAGGAACACCAAUAGCGUAGGCAGGUUGCUGGGACGGUUCUGACACUAAGGCACGAAAGCGUAGGGAGCAAACGGGAUUAGAUACCCUUGUAGUC
rnacentral:rRNA from 1 species